GCCAACACACACCUCCCAGGAUUUUUGCUACCAUGCUGUGAAGGGCCAUCCAGGAUAAAUGGGUCAUGGUGGAGAGUUCUAACAAAACAUGGUCCACUGAAGAAGGGAAUGGCAAACAACCGUGGUAUUCUUGCCUCAAGAAUUCCAUUGGUAGUAUAAAGAGGCAAAAGGAUAUGACACCAGAAGAGAAGCCUUUCAGACUGGAAAAACAUUCAACAUUCACAGACAUCCAAGUCAAUUCCCCAACCAUUAAUGUCAAAGAAGCUGAACUUGAAUAGUUCUAUGAAGACCUACAAGACCUUCUAGAACUAGCACCAG